AUCCUUUUCUGGUUCAUAAGCAUGAUGAUUGGGUGUUCACAUGUUUGUGUAACAUGUGCCUCCUUUAAACCUUGUUAUAACUUUGGAAAAUUACCUCAUCUGAUG